rnacentral:rRNA from 1 species
CCUACGGGAGGCAGCAGUGGGGAAUUUUGGACAAUGGGCGAAAGCCUGAUCCAGCAAUGCCGCGUGAGUGAAGAAGGCCUUCGGGUUGUAAAGCUCUUUUGUCAGGGAAGAAACGGUGAAAGCUAAUAUCUUUUGCUAAUGACGGUACCUGAAGAAUAAGCACCGGCUAACUACGUGCCAGCAGCCGCGGUAAUACGUAGGGUGCAAGCGUUAAUCGGAAUUACUGGGCGUAAAGCGUGCGCAGGCGGUUUUGUAAGUCUGAUGUGAAAUCCCCGGGCUCAACCUGGGAAUUGCAUUGGAGACUGCAAGGCUAGAAUCUGGCAGAGGGGGGUAGAAUUCCACGUGUAGCAGUGAAAUGCGUAGAUAUGUGGAGGAACACCGAUGGCGAAGGCAGCCCCCUGGGUCAAGAUUGACGCUCAUGCACGAAAGCGUGGGGAGCAAACAGGAUUAGAUACCCUGGUAGUCCACGCCCUAAACGAUGUCUACUAGUUGUCGGGUCUUAAUUGACUUGGUAACGCAGCUAACGCGUGAAGUAGACCGCCUGGGGAGUACGGUCGCAAGAUUAAAACCGCAAAUGAAUUGACGG